ensembl:snRNA U6 U6 spliceosomal RNA
GUGCUGACCUGUGCAGCACAUAGUACACUAAGGAACGAUACAGAGAAGGUUAGUCUGGCCCCUGUGCAAGGAUGACAAACAAAUUCCUGAAGCGUUCCAUAUUUUU